GUCUCAGAGCAGGAUGGGGCAUGCCCAUGUGAUCCUAAGGGCAGUUACACACUGGGACUCUUCGCUUUAAACUGGGAAAUGUUUAUCGGAUAUAAAAAAGAAAAUGAGACGGAUUUGUUUUUCCUCUGAGGAAAAAAAAGGAGAGGAAAGAUGACAGGGGAAAAGAAAAUGGGAAACGAAUAC
rnacentral:lncRNA from 1 species